GAUGAACGCUGGCGGCGUGCCUAAUACAUGCAAGUCGAGCGAACAGAGGUGGUUCUUGUUCCAACUGGGUGAGCAGCGGACGGGUGAGUAACACGUGGGGAACCUGCCUAUAAGCGGGGGACAACUUCGGGAAACGAGUGCUAAUACCGGAUAAAAAAUUGAACCACAGGGUUGAAUAGUGAAAGAUGCACUUGCUGCCACCAAAAGAGAUCCCCCGGCCGAUUAGCUAGGUGGUGAGGUAAAGGCUUACCAAGGCAAAGAUCCGUAGCCGACCUGGGAGGGUGUCAGUCCCCCGUGGAACUGGGUCACGGCCCACACUCCUACGGGGGCCCGCCGUAGGGACCUUCGGGCAAUGGCCGAAAGCCUGACGGAGCAACGCGCGGUAGGUUAAGAAGGUCUUGGGACCGUAAAAUUCUUUGAUUAGGGAAGACGAACUUGGUAAGUCACUGCGCACGUAUUGACGGUACCUACGCAGAAAGCCACGGCUAACUACGUG
rnacentral:rRNA from 1 species